rnacentral:piRNA from 1 species
UAAGCUGUUGACCAUACUGGGAUACUGUUU